GACGAACGCUGGCGGCGUGCUUAACACAUGCAAGUCGAACGGAAAGGCCCUGCUUUUGUGGUGUGCUCGAGUGGCGAACGGGUGAGUAACACGUGGGUAACCUGCCCUUGACUUUGGGAUAACUUCAGGAAACUGGGGCUAAUACCGGAUAGGAGCUCCUGCUGCAUGGUGGGGGUUGGAAAGUUUCGGCGGUUGGGGAUGGACGCGCGGCUUUUCAGCUUGUUGGUGGGGUAGUGGCUUACCAAGGCUUUGACGGGUAGCCGGCCUGAGAGGGUGACCGGCCACAUUGGGCCUGAGAUACGGACCAGAGUCCUACGGGAGGCAACAGUGGGGAAUAUUGCACAAUGGGCGGAAGCCUGAUGCAGCAACGCCGCGUGCGGGAUGACGGCCUUCGGGUUGUAAACCGCUUUCGCCUGUGACGAAGCGUGAGUGACGGUAAUGGGUAAAGAAGCACCGGCUAACUACGUG
rnacentral:rRNA from 1 species